CGCAGAUAUAAACAUCUGAAACAUUCAAGAAUCUGUAAAUUUGAAACAAGAGAGUUUUCCUGAACACCGCUGUGGAUAUCCCACCCCAGAAGGAAAUAUGAGCCUUCCUAUGCAGACUCUCAGACCAGAGACUCGACAGUGACCUUCCAGACUUCACCUGGUGAUGUCCCCUCCUUGGUCCCUCUUGUUCUGAGCUCCCAUCUUCUUGGGCUGAGCAGCUUCUGGAUCCUCCAGCUCUCCAGCACCAAGAUGACCUUUGUGGAUCCUUCUGUCUCUGAUUCCUCUGGUGACCACUGUGGACUUUCCUUCUGAUCCUAAAUGAACAGACCCCACUCUCCAAGAAGGCCCAGGGAGUUCUUCACCACUUACUUUCUUCCUGCAUGGAAUGAUGUUACAAAAUCUGGAA